AUAUUACCUGAUGUUAGUGGUUCUUAUGGGAAGAUAAAACGGCUCUGUGAAACCGAGCUUGGAGUAAUAACUCAGUGCUGCUUACCCAAAAAUGUUCAGAAGGGUGGGAAACAAUACCUUGAAAAUCUUUCUUUGAAGAUCAAUGUGAAGGUCGGAGGUCGGAAUACAGUACUUGAAGAUGCUUUGUACAAGAGGAUACCCCUUCUGACAGAUGUGCC